UACGGAGGGGGCGAGCGUUAUUCGGAAUUAUUGGGCGUAAAGGGCGCGUAGGCGGCCCGGUAAGUCAAAGGUGAAAUCCCUCGGCUCAACUGAGGAACUGCCUUUGAAACUGUCGGGCUUGAGGCCGGGAGGGGGUAGCGGAAUUCCCAGUGUAGCGGUGAAAUGCUUAGAGAUUACAUGGAAUACCAAUUGCGAAGGCAGGUUACUACUAAUGGAUUGACGCUGAUGGACGAAAGCGUGGGGAGCGAACAGG
rnacentral:rRNA from 1 species